ensembl:miRNA
UCAAUUUUAUGGAAGAGUUUGACAGGAUUGGUAUUAAUUCUUUAAGUGUUUGGUAGAAUUCACUAGUGA